rnacentral:rRNA from 1 species
AUUGAACGCUAGCGGGAUGCCUUACACAUGCAAGUCGAACGGAGUGGCGAACGGGUGAGUAAUGUAUCGGAACGUGCCCAGUAGCGGGGGAUAACUACGCGAAAGCGUAGCUAAUACCGCAUACUAUUGGAGCGGCCGAUAUCGGAUUAGCUAGUGGGUGGGGUAACGGCGGAACAAGGCGACGAUCCGUAACUGGUUUGAGAGGACGACCGGCAACGCUGGGAUUGGGAAACGGCCCGGACUCCGACGGGAGGCCGAAGUGGGGAAGUUUGGACAAUGGGGGAAACCCUAAUCCACCCAUCCCGAGUGUGCGAUGAAGGCCUUCGGGUUGUAGAGCACUUUUGGCAGGAGAGCGGUACCUGCAGAAUAAGCACCGGCUAACUACGUGCCAGCAGCCGCGGUAGUUC